CUGACUGCUAUCGGAUUGAUACUAAGCCAUGCGAGUCAUUGUAGUAAUACAAGGCAGACGGCUCAGUAACGCGUAGUCAACCUAACCUAUGGACGGGAAUAACCUCGGGAAACUGAGUAUAAUGCCCGAUAGAACAUUAUGCCUGGAAUGGUUUAUGUUCCAAACGAUUUAUCGCCGUAGGAUGGGACUGCGGCCUAUCAGUUUGUUGGUGAGGUAAUGGCCCACCAAGACUAUUACAGGUACGGGCUCUGAGAGGAGUAGCCCGGAGAUGGGUACUGAGACACGGACCCAGGCCCUAUGGGGCGCAGCAGGCGAGAAAACUUUGCAAUGUGCGAAAGCACGACAAGGUUAAUCCGAGUGGUUUCUGCUAAAGGAACCUUUUGUCGGUCCUAGAAACACCGAUGAAUAAGGGGUGGGCAAGUUCUGGUGUCAGCCGCCGCGGUAAAACCAGCACCUCAAGUGGUCAGGAUGAUUAUUGGGCCUAAAGCACCCGUAGCCGGCUCUGUUAGUUUUCGGUUAAAUCUGUACGCUCAACGUACAGGCUGCCGGGAAUACUGCAAAGCUAGGGAGUGGGAGAGGUAGACGGUACUCGGUAGGAAGGGGUAAAAUCCUUUGAUCUAUUGAUGACCACCUGUGGCGAAGGCGGUCUACCAGAACACGUCCGACGGUGAGGGAUGAAAGCUGGGGGAGCAAACCGGAUUAGAUACCCGGGUAGUCCCAGCUGUAAACUAUGCAAACUCAGUGAUGCAUUGGCUUGUGGCCAAUGCAGUGCUGCAGGGAACCCGUUAA
rnacentral:rRNA from 1 species